AAUGAGCGUUGGCGGCGUGGAUUAGGCAUGCAAGUCGAGCGAGAACCCGCAAGGGGGACAGCGGCAAACGGGGUAGUAAUGUGUCGGAACGUGCCCUCUGGACGGGGAUAGCGGCGGGAAACUGCCGGUAAUACCCGAUGAACUCGAGAGAGCAAAGGUGUGAUUCCGCCGGAGGAGCGGCCGACAUGGUAUUAGCUAGUUGGCGGGGUAACGGCCCACCAAGGCUGUGAUGCCUAGGGGAUGUGAGAGCAUGAUCCCCACCAUUGGGACUGAGACACUGCCCAGACACCUACGGGUGGCUGCAGUCGAGAAUCUUCGUCAAUGGGCGAAAGCCUGAACGAGCGACGCCGCGUGCGGGAUGAAGGCCCUUGGGUUGUAAACCGCUGUCGAGGGGGAUGAAGGCAUUCAGGUACUCCUGAAUGUUUGACAGAGCCCUGGAGGAAGCACGGGCUAAGUUCGUGCCAGCCGCCGCAGUAAAAC
rnacentral:rRNA from 1 species